GGGAAGAAAAUGGAAAAAACUGAGUCGGGCGUGGUUCAUCUCAAGGUCGACCGUGAUGCAACUUCCAGAUCACCCGGGGCCCGCACAGCCACGAGGAGGAUGCCUCUGCGGCCACAAUUGCAACUGGAUCCAAAGGAAGCCCAGAGCCCCAAUUGCUCUUCUCCACUCCCGUGAUCCUAGGAAGAAUACCUUUGUGUUGGAAUCUGCAGCCUAGGAUCAGUUGACAAAUGUCAUGGAAGCAACAGGGGGAAGAAAAUGGAAAAAAUGGAGUUGAGCAUGGCUCAUAUCAAGGUCAACCCUGACACAACUUCCAGAUCACCCGGGGCCUGCCCGGCGAUGAAGAGGAUGGCUCUGCGGCCACAAGAGCAACUGGAUCCGAGGGAAGGUGUUGAGUUUUC